rnacentral:rRNA from 1 species
AAGGUUCGACCUGAGCUCAGGCAAGGCUACC